CCCCCCGACAAGGGGGGGUGACACUGUGUGCUCCCUCUGACAAGGGGGGGGUGACACUGUGUGCUCCCUCUGUGCGCCUUCUGACAAGGAAUUGACUCACUCUGUGCUCCCUCUGACAAGGGGGAGACCACUCUGUGCUCUGACAAGGGGGGUGACUCUCUGUGCUCCCUCUGACAAGGGGGGGUGACUCUCUGUGCUCCUUGCUCCUUCUGACAAGAGGUUGACUCACUCUGUG